rnacentral:rRNA from 1 species
GAUGAACGCUGGCGGCGUGCCUAACACAUGCAAGUCGAACGGAGAUUUAACGCUGAUGAGGCUUCGGYSRAAUCUUGUUAAAUCUUAGUGGCGGACGGGUGAGUAACGCGUGGGCAACCUGCCUCGUACUGGGGGAUAACAGUUGGAAACGACUGUUAAUACCGCAUAAGCGCACGGUGUCGCAUGACACAGUGUGAAAAACUCCGGUGGUACGAGAUGGGCCCGCGUCAGAUUAGCCAGUUGGUGGGGUAACGGCCUACCAAAGCAACGAUCUGUAGCCGGACUGAGAGGUCGGACGGCCACAUUGGGACUGAGACACGGCCCAAACUCCUACGGGAGGCAGCAGUGGGGGAUAUUGCACAAUGGGCGAAAGCCUGAUGCAGCGACGCCGCGUGAGUGAAGAAGUAUUUCGGUAUGUAAAGCUCUAUCAGCAGGGAAGAAAGACCCGCAA